rnacentral:rRNA from 1 species
AACCAUAUGUUAUUACUUAUGGCGAMUUCUGCUCAAUGAUCUUUAAAUAGCCGCAGUACUCUGACUGUGCAAAGGUAGCAUAAUAAUUUGGCUCAUAAUUGGAGUCUGGUAUGAAUGAAUUCAUGGCUAGUGACUGUCUUCAAAGGAUGUAAUUAACUUACUCAGCAAGUGAAAAUUCUUGCAUUAGACUAAAAGACGAGAAGACCCUUGAAAUUUUUACAAAUUGGUGUGAUACACUGCACGUUUUUGUUGGGGCGACAAAAUAACAACUAACUUAUUGUUGUAGAUUUGAACUAAAUGUUGUGGAUAAGUAAAUUACUCUAGGGAUAACAGCAUAAUUUUGUAUAGUUUGUGACCUCGAUGUUGGAUUAGGAACCGGGCCACCCAGAAGGUAGCACGGUACGUUCUGUUCGAACGUCCCACUCCUACAUG